UACGAAGGGGGCUAGCGUUGCUCGGAAUCACUGGGCGUAAAGCGCACGUAGGCGGAUCUUUAAGUCAGGGGUGAAAUCCUGGAGCUCAACUCCAGAACUGCCUUUGAUACUGGGGAUCUCGAGUCCGGAAGAGGUAAGUGGAACUCCGAGUGUAGAGGUGAAAUUCGUAGAUAAUCGGAAGAACACCAGUGGCGAAGGCGGCUUACUGGUCCGGUACUGACGCUGAGGUGCGAAAGCGUGGGGAGCAAACAGG
rnacentral:rRNA from 1 species